ACUCACUGCACGUGGCCUCGGACUCGUCGGAGCCGUCGGCGCACUCCUCCUCGCCGUCGCACUUCCAGCGCUCGGGGAUGCAGUGCCCGUUGUUGCAGGAUAAGUCCCAGGAACCCAGGAGGGAGAGCGUGCUGCCCAGAGCCAGCUGACCGACUGCCUCAGUCCGGGGACAGCCAGCAGGCCCGCGUCACUGGCCAGAAGGAUCCGUGGUGGGCAGUGAGGAAUAAGAAGCCUGGAAAAGUAGGAGGGCGGAGGAGGCUGUUUUUGCUCCCGGAGGCGAGGGGGCCACUGGAGUUUGUGGAGCAGGGGAUGGCAGGGACCUGGGUUCAAAUGCAGCGCCGAAUCCAAAAGGCAAACUAACGAGGAGCAACCCAUCACUCAUCAUGCUUCCUACUUGUACGAUCUCUCUGGGACUCGUGUCGCUAGACUAUAAAAUAAGGAAAUCAGGAGUCAGACUCUCUACCUCAUCGGGCACUGCAAGGAAAAGGGCUGAGGAACUGGAGAGUGCCAGAGAAAUGGGAACGAUUCUUAAUGCAACAAAUGGGAAAGCGUUUUGUAAAUGAUCAAUACAUUUUGUGAAUGGUUUACUUUGAGUAAAUUAUCAGGGAAGUGCCUCU